rnacentral:rRNA from 1 species
AAGCGGCUCGUCUUAAAUGCAUUAGUGCAACUUUCGGGUGGACAUAAUACAGCGUGAUAAGUAUCUUCGCUGGCUCUCCUUACGGAGGUGUUCGAACGUUAAGCUCUGUGCUUCUAAUCGUCCCUUGUGGAAUAAGCUUCGGCUUACUUGACAACUUGACCUCAAAUCGGGUAGGGCUACCCGCUGAACUUAAGCAUAUCAAUAAGCGGAGGAAAAGAAACUAACAAGGAUUCCCCUAGUAACGGCGAGUGAAGAGGGAAGAGCUCAAAUUUUGAAUCUGGCGUCUUCGGCAUCCGAGUUGUAAUCUAAAGAAGUGUUUUCCGCGAUGGGCCGUGCACAAGUCUCCUGGAACGGUGCGUCAUAGAGGGUGAGAAUCCCGUAUAUGGCACGGACUACCACUGCUCUGUGAUACACUCUCGGCGAGUCGAGUUGUUUGGGAAUGCAGCUCAAAAUGGGUGGUAAAUUCCAUCUAAAGCUAAGUAUUGGCGAGAGACCGAUAGCGAACAAGUACCSUGAGGGAAAGAUGAAAAGCACUUUGGAAAGAGAGUGAAACASUACGUGAAAUUGUUGAAAGGGAAACGCUGAAGUCAGUCGCGCUCAUUUGGAUUCAGCCUGGCUUUUGCCUGGUUUACUUCCUUGUGGGCGGGUCAACGUCAGUUUUGACCGGAGGAAAAAGCUUUGAGAAAUGUGGCAGCGGCUGUGUUAUAGUCUCUUGG